UACGGAGGGUGCAAGCGUUAUCCGGAUUUACUGGGUUUAAAGGGUGCGUAGGUGGGUAGGAAAGUCAGUGGUGAAAUCUUCGGGCUUAACCCGGAAACUGCCAUUGAUACUAUUUAUCUUGAAUACUUUGGAGGUAAGCGGAAUAUGUCAUGUAGCGGAUGAAAUGCUUAGAUAUGACAUAGAACACCAAUUGCGAAGGCAGCUUACUACACAGUUAUUGACACUGAGGCACGAAAGCGUGGGGAUCAAACAGG
rnacentral:rRNA from 1 species